UUCCCGCUCCACCCACUGGCCCCCUAGGGAGUCACGAGGGUGGGAUGCGGCUGGACUGAACCCAAGACAGGCCAUUCCUUGAGUCCUUCCCGACUGCUGUGCCUCAGUUUCCCCAGAAUCCCAGGAGAUAGACCAUGGGGUGAUGAUCUGCCUCUCGGACUCUGCCGGGCAGGUGGGGACGAAGGUCCCCAUUUUAUAGACUAGGCUACGAAAUCCCCACUCACAAAGACAAACCUGUCUGGCCGUGUUCAUAGCCCGGCAUGGGAUGACCCAGGGAGCCGAGUAAACUUGUGCUUACUAUAAAUCCGUAGUGGACAAUGCCACACUUUUACACCACAUCAAAGAGUCCGCUUCUCGCCCUCGCUGGCAGGCCCCACAGCACCUCACUAUGGAAGUGGAGCCGCUUUUCACACCAAGAGUCCUAGUCAGGGACACGGGGCUGCCCAGUAGGUCAGGUGAGCAUGGGCUCACUUGUGCUCACUUACUAAUCUGUGGUGAACAGUUUCGUGUGUGCGUCACCACAUCAAAGAAAAACCUCUGGUGGUGGGGGGGGGAACAACUACGAAACCGUUCACUACAGAUUAGUAAGCACGCCUAAGAAAGCCCAGGCUUACCUUGCCUGUUGGGUGGUCCGUCCCUGCCACAGCCCAUUGUUGGACAGAUGAAGAGGCCAAGGCUCAGGAGGGUAAAGGGGACAUGGCCAAGGUCUUCUAGAAUGGAGGUAGUGGAGGCAGGGACUUGGCCUUGGCAGCCAGCCCCUUCCAGCUUCCUGCCUGGCUGGGCUGUUGAAUCAGCAGCAGACUGGAGCUUCUUGGGAAACAGCAGGGAGAUAAGCGGGGCAGCCCUCCCUAAUAGCAUCUGGGCGAGGCUAGAACCCAUGCAGGUCCCAGCCGCUUCCUGCCCAGGGGCUAGAGGAGACACGGACCAUGGGCAGAGCUGGUCCCUGUGCUAUGGCACUGUGACCUUGAGCCAAACUGCCCCAUCUAGGCAAUACAGAGGGUGCUGAUUGGGGGGAUGCCUUUCUUCCUCCAGCUCUAAUGGAAGCUCUGCCUUCUUCCAGAGCAAGGGGCGGUGGGCCCAGCGCUGUGGCUUUGGGCGAUUUACGUAAUCUCUCUGGGCCUCAGUUUCAAUAUCGAUUCAUUGAGGGACUCCACUCCCCACCUCUCAUGGGCUGUCGAGACAUUUAAGGUAUUUGAGCACCUACUAUGUGCCAGGCACUGCAAUUCAAAGGCUGCCUACCCUCCUGGAGCAGGCCCACACGACAACCCAGAUGCAGAGACCGAGGCCCGGAGAGGCUAACAGCUUGCCCAGCGUCACCCAGCCCAGAGGCUGCCGAGCUGAGAUUUGAACCCAGAGAGGAGGUCGUGGAGACUGGAGCAGAGCAGAGGGCGGGGAGGCGUUCGGUGGUCUGAGAGGUAGGAGGGCUUCG